CCAUCCUCCCCACAAACGGUGCCGUACGAGGAUCAGUAGCCAGCUGUUGGUCCACGGAGAGCAGCCCCUUGUUCUUCAGCAGGCCCUUGUAGUACAUAUUGUCCAGAAUCAUCGGCGUCUCACGGUCGUUCCUUGAGUACAAGACCGCAUUUGGGUCCGGGUUGGGGCUCGGGCAACGGGCCUUUAGGUAGCUAGCGUAGACCGGGUCCAGAGCCGGGUCCACGGCGGGAUAGAGUCGGCCCACCAAGUUGACGCAGUGGACCCGGCCCACCGAGUGGGCCCCCAAGAGAGCGACGGUGCCUUCUACGUCGAUGCCCAUGGAUUGAAAUCGGGUGAGUACGGCAGAGAUAGAGUCGUUGUGGUUUGGGAUGGAGCUUUCUACUUCUGCUAAGUAGCU
rnacentral:lncRNA from 1 species